rnacentral:rRNA from 1 species
UGGGGAAUAUUGGACAAUGGGCGAAAGCCUGAUCCAGCCAUGCCGCGUGUGUGAAGAAGGUCUUCGGAUUGUAAAGCACUUUAAGUUGGGAGGAAGGGCAGUAAGCGAAUACCUUGCUGUUUUGACGUUACCGACAGAAUAAGCACCGGCUAACUCUGUGCCAGCAGCCGCGGUAAUACAGAGGGUGCAAGCGUUAAUCGGAAUUACUGGGCGUAAAGCGCGCGUAGGUGGUUCGUUAAGUUGAAUGUGAAAGCCCCGGGCUCAACCUGGGAACUGCAUCCAAAACUGGCGAGCUAGAGUAGGGCAGAGGGUGGUGGAAUUUCCUGUGUAGCGGUGAAAUGCGUAGAUAUAGGAAGGAACACCAGUGGCGAAGGCGACCGCCUUGGCUCAUACUGACACUGAGGUGCGAAAGCGUGGGGAGCAAACAGG